rnacentral:lncRNA from 1 species
AUAGUGAGAGAUCUUAAGUCUUCCUCUCUUCCUGUAGGUUUUGUAGGUCAUAGCACUUGAAAGCCAGGAGUGGAACUGAUGAUGAUUUCUUGGGAGAAUGGGAGCGGUGGGGAGGGUCUCCUCCUGGAUGAGCUCUUAUCAGAGUCCAGCAUGCUGUUGAAACAGCAAGGAUCAUUUUCCGAGUGUUUACUUUCCGUUAUUGCUUGUGUUCAAAGUACCUCAUUAUGUAAAGACAUAGGGAAAAGAAGUAGAUGCUGUUUCUGGUCAUAAUACACAGAGAUUUGUCUCGAGCCUUGGACGCACAUUUUGUCAUCCGUUUUUCUCCCCAUACUUUUCUACACAAGGUACUUCUGGGAGCUGGAUGCCGGGAAUUAGCUUUAAUCACACAUUCCCUCUGCAGUGAUGGGCGACUGACAAGCUGGGCACAUUUUUAGUUUCCCACUUUUUAGCUGUUUGUGGGUGAGCGGCGCUGAGCCCACCAGCUUCUACCCACCAGCUUCUACCCACCUCACACCCAUCGGAGGUCUUCAGCCAAAGAAGCGGCUCCGCCCACAUGCCGCCAGCUCCCUGAUGAACCACCGCAAGCGGCAGAAAGUUUGUGUCUGCAGCACACUCGCCUGUUACUGAGAGCUAAAUCAAAGGCCCGCUCUGUUAUUAGAGCCAGUGUGCUUUUGAGGAAAACAAAAUCCGACUUACAUCCAGACUUGUGAUCCCACUAAAACAGGCACCAGAAGAGGAAAAAAAAGGCUCUUUUCCCUAACAAAGCAUUUGUCAUCAGUUUGCAGUUGCUCUGUUCGCAAGCAUGGUUCAGAUUUGCUUCUAUGCGCAGCUGUCACCGAGCCUGUUGGACGUCCUGGAACCCAAACACACAAACCAGAAGAGAUUAGUGUGCCAUGUCAACCCACUGCUUCCACAGAUGGCACGGAUGCUUUUAGCCCGCUCCCUGUAGACAGCCACUCAUUGAUCUUUCAUACUAAACUCCACACAGCAGGACUCUUGAUACUGUUUUAUUUAUCAUUCUGGCAUUUACUAUUAAGGGCAAUAAAGUUUGACAUGUGUGGGUUUUAACUGUAG